UCGUAACAAGGUCUCCGUUGGUGAACCAGCGGAGGGAUCAUUACAGAGUUGCAAAACUCCCUAAACCAUUGUGAACGUUACCUAUACCGUUGCUUCGGCGGGCGGCCCCGGGGUUUACCCCCCGGGCGCCCCUGGGCCCCACCGCGGGCGCCCGCCGGAGGUCACCAAACUCUUGAUAAUUUAUGGCCUCUCUGAGUCUUCUGUACUGAAUAAGUCAAAACUUUCAACAACGGAUCUCUUGGUUCUGGCAUCGAUGAAGAACGCAGCGAAAUGCGAUAAGUAAUGUGAAUUGCAGAAUUCAGUGAAUCAUCGAAUCUUUGAACGCACAUUGCGCCCGCCAGCAUUCUGGCGGGCAUGCCUGUUCGAGCGUCAUUUCAACCAUCAAGCCCCCGGGCUUGUGUUGGGGACCUGCGGCUGCCGCAGGCCCUGAAAAGCAGUGGCGGGCUCGCUGUCGCACCGAGCGUAGUAGCAUACAUCUCGCUCUGGUCGCGCCGCGGGUUCCGGCCGUUAAACCACCUUUUAACCCAAGGUUGA
rnacentral:rRNA from 1 species